GGAGGGUUGGCAGAGUGGAUUAUUGCACUUGUCUUGAAAACAAGCGGGCGUGUUGAGCGUCCCAUAGGUUCGAAUCCUAUACCCUCCG
rnacentral:tRNA from 1 species